UACAGAGGGUGCGAGCGUUGUCCGGAAUCACUGGGCGUAAAGGGCGCGUAGGUGGCGACCCAAGUCCAUGGUGAAAGCUCGAUGCUCAACAUCGAGUCGGCCACGGAUACUGGGUUGCUCGAGCACUGUAGAGGCUAAUGGAAUUCCGGGUGUAGCGGUGGAAUGCGUAGAGAUCCGGAAGAACACCGGUGGCGAAGGCGGUUAGCUGGGCAGUUGCUGACACUGAGGCGCGACAGCGUGGGGAGCAAACGGG
rnacentral:rRNA from 1 species